rnacentral:rRNA from 1 species
AUUGAACGCUGGCGGCAUGCCUUACACAUGCAAGUCGAACGGUAACAGGUCUUCGGAUGCUGACGAGUGACGAACGGGUGCGUAAUACAUCGGAACGUGCCCGAUCGUGGGGGAUAACGAAGCGAAAGCUUUGCUAAUACCGCAUACGAUCUACGGAUGAAAGCAGGGGACCGCAAGGCCUUGCGCGAACGGAGCGGCCGAUGGCAGAUUAGGUAGUUGGUGGGAUAAAAGCUUACCAAGCCGACGAUCUGUAGCUGGUCUGAGAGGACGACCAGCCACACUGGGACUGAGACACGGCCCAGACUCCUACGGGAGGCAGCAGUGGGGAAUUUUGGACAAUGGGCGAAAGCCUGAUCCAGCCAUGCCGCGUGCAGGAUGAAGGCCUUCGGGUUGUAAACUGCUUUUGUACGGAACGAAAAGACUCUGGUUAAUACCUGGGGUCCAUGACGGUACCGUAAGAAUAAGCACCGGCUAACUACGUG